GACGAACGCUGGCGGCGUGCUUAAAACAUGCAAGUCGAACGGUGAAAGCGGAGCUUGCUCCGCCGGAUCAGUGGCGAACGGGUGAGUAACACGUGGGCAACCUGCCCCUGCCUUCGGGGUAACUCCUGGAAAGAGGUGCUAAUACCGGGUACGAAUCCUGCAGGCAUCUGCGGGAUUGGAAAGAUCUUCGGUCAGGGAUGGGCCCGCGGCCUAUCAGCUUGUUGGGGGGGUAGUGGCUCACGAAGGCGACGACGGGUAGCCGGCCUGGGAGGGCGACCGGCCACACUGGGACUGAGACACGGCCCAGACUCCUACGGGAUGCAGCAGUGGGGAAUAUUGCGCAAUGGGCGAAAGCCUGACGCAGCAACGCCGCGUGAGGGAUGACGGCCUUCGGGUUGUAAACCUCUUUCAGCAGGGAAGAAGCGAAAGUGACGGUACCUGCAGAAGAAGCACCGGCUAACUACGUGCCAGCCGCCGCCGUAC
rnacentral:rRNA from 1 species